GUUGAUUUGAGAAAAGUUUUCAAAUUAAACUGACUUAGAAAUAAAACUUUCCAUUUACAACCUAAAAUAGCUUGUCUGCCCAACAAAUUUCUUCCAUUGUUGUCCUAACUAAGAUUUUCUAGCGAGCAUAACAAAGAUUAUCAACUUUUGAGUAGAUUUUUUGAGUCGAGUUGGGAACCGGUGGGAAACCCCGUAGGUGACUGGCACACGUCGUGGUCUGAAUAAGUUUGAACUAGACCAAACGAGUCUGAGCAGACUGUGUGAUAGUGGUUUGUCGAUGUGUUCUGAACUGAAAACCUGCUAAGAAACUGAACAAAUGUGGCCAAAGUUGGAUGAAAAUUACAAUUUUUCGACCAUUACGGAUUUUACCUGGUCUGAAGUUGGAGUGUAUUAUUUGACCAUUUUUUGGACAGGUGCGGGAGCUGCCGGCCAUUUGCCCUAGCAGGCGGAGAGAGGUCGUGGAGUGUCAGCCUAUGGUAUCUGAGGUCCAGGAGAGAUGACCUGCGCUGUUUUCCUCUGAGGAGAUAUCUGAAAAUUUCAUCGGAUCACAAGCAAAGACCUCCUGGGGACCUUCAAUGCAUCCUUUGACAAAGUUGUGCCUGGCCUGCUGAAACUGUACUGGUCUAAGAAGGGAGCUUUUGGUGAGGAGAUGGAAGACCUCCUGGAUAAACUUGAUGAACAGACAUCCAACACUGUGUCCAACGGGCACUGAGAGGCCUGCCCAUUUUCCUCAAGAGAAGAUGCAACAGAGGUUUUCCUGAAGUGCUUAGACACUGACAUUUUGGAACCAGUGUUGAACGGUGCAUCAGUUGCCAUCCUCACCAUCCUACAAGAUGACGAUGCUGAUACGUCUGUGUGAGAACAUGCAGUUGUGUUGGAAGGGGACAUUGUGCUACAUAACAUUCCAGAUCUCUCUACUGCCCUGGCACACCUCUUUGGCCUUCUGUAUGCCCUCAACAUUGAUUAUCCAAAGCAGAUGAGUUUUACCUUUGAAGCAAUUCAGGCCAUCUUAUUUUGGCCUGGUCGGACAAUAUGAAGGUGAAGUGGAUAAAUCAUUAUUCAAAAUGUAAAUUUUAGUCAGAUGAAUCUGUAUUGUUGACAAUAUAUGGUGAAAAUUUGUCUUGUAGUAUUUUAAAAGAUUUGUUAUAGUGUUAGUUUCCUCUUCAUUGAUGGUAACAUUUCUAAUAACUUUUAACUUCCAUAGUUCAUCAUAGUAAGCCUGUGUAAAAUGUCAAUGUCUGGGUGCAUAGGCAAUCGUUUGUAGCACUACCCUAUUUAAUGUGCAAUAGUUAUGUUCAGCUUUUACAAGACGGUCAGGGUGUGUGUGCAUGAAUUAUUAAGUUGCUGGACACUUUUCUUUUUUGGUUCUGGA